rnacentral:rRNA from 1 species
UACGGGGGGGGCAAGCGUUGUUCGGAAUUACUGGGCGUAAAGCGCGCGUAGCCGGUUUUGUAAGUCAGAUGUGAAAUCCCUGGGCUCAACCUGGGAACUGCAUUUGAAACUGCAUGGCUAGAGUAUGGAAGAGGGAAGUGGAAUUUCCGGUGUAGCGGUGAAAUGCGUAGAUAUCGGAAGGAACACCAGUGGCGAAAGCGACUUCCUGGUCCAAUACUGACGUUCAUGUGCGAAAGCGUGGGGAGCAAACAGG